rnacentral:tRNA from 1 species
GGCGGCGUAGCUCAGCUGGUUAGAGCAGCGGAAUCAUAAUCCGAAGGUCGAAGGUUCGAGUCCUUCCGCCGCUACCU